GUUACCUCUUUAAAGGUAUUAGGCCUUGUUCACACGUCAGUUAUUUGAUCAGUUAUUUCCACCAGUUAUUGUGAGCCAAAACCAGGCGCGGGUAAAAAAAUACACAGAACAGUUGCAGAUCUUUUGAUUAUACCUUAUCUCUGUGUAGCCUCUACUCCUGGUUUUGGCUGACAAAAACUGAUGGAAACAACUGAUCAAAUAACUGACGUGUGAA